CAGUGGGGAAUCUUGCGCAAUGGGCGAAAGCCUGACGCAGCCAUGCCGCGUGAAUGAUGACGGUCUUGGGCUUGUAAAAUUCUUUCACCGGGGACGAUACUUACGGUACCCGGAGAAGAAGCCCCGGCUAACUUCGUGCCAGCAGCCGCGGUAAUACGAAGGGGGCUAGCGUUGCUCGGAAUUACUGGGCGUAAAGGGAGCGUAGGCGGAUAGUUCAGUCAGAGGUGAAAGCCCAGGGCUCAACCUUGGCAUUGCCUUUGAUACUGGCUGUCUUGAGUAUGGGAGAGGUUAGCGGAACUCCGAGUGUAGAGGUGAAAUUCGUAGAUAUUCGGAAGAACACCAGUGGCGAAGGCGACUCACUGGCCCGUUACUGACGCUGAGGCUCGAAAGCGUGGGGAGCAAACAGGAUUAGG
rnacentral:rRNA from 1 species